GACGAACGCUGGCGGCGUGCUUAACACAUGCAAGUCGAACGGAAAGGCCCUGCUUUUGUGGGGUGCUCGAGUGGCGAACGGGUGAGUAACACGUGAGUAACCUGCCCUUGACUUUGGGAUAACUUCAGGAAACUGGGGCUAAUACCGGAUAGGAGCUCCUGCUGCAUGGUGUGGGUUGGAAAGUUUCGGCGGUUGGGGAUGGACUCGCGGCUUAUCAGCUCGUUGGUGGGGUAGUGGCUUACCAAGGAUUUGACGGGUAGCCGGCCUGAGAGGGUGACCGGCCCCAGUGGGACUGAGAUAGGGCCCAGACUGCUACGGGAGGCAGCAGUGGGAAAUAUUGCACAAUGGGCGGAAGCCUGAUGCAGCAACGCCGCGUGCGAGAUGACGGCCUUCGGGUUGUAACCCGCUUUCGCGUGUAACGAAGCGUGAGUGACGGUAAUGGGUCAAGAAGCACCGGCUAACUACGUG
rnacentral:rRNA from 1 species